GUAAUUCAUGAUAAUUUUUUACUCUAAUUCUGAUAAGUUACCAUGUGAUUGUGGUCUCAUAUUUCUCAAGCCUUUGAAUAAAGCAUCAGCAGAAUCCACUGAUAAAACGCCAGCCAGCAGUUUGCGCCUGCAUAAAUCCCCCCAUUGUGCAGCUUCUGUUUCCUCUCCUGAACUGGACAAGGUAAACAGCAAUGGUCCUCAUAAGCAGUCAGGCAAAGCAAGAACAUCAAGGAAUAAAACGAAGCAGUUUCAAUCAAGACUGUUACAGUCAUCCUCAGUCGCAUCCACAUCUGAUGCACCCUCUUCAUCGGCACCCUGUGCUUUAUUCACCUCUAUAAUGGCCUUAUCAACCUCAUGCCCUCCUGCCCUGUCCUCAUCACCGUCAACACCACCUGCGCCACCCACGUCACCUUCAACCUCGCCUGUGCAGCCCUCAUCACCUUCU